rnacentral:rRNA from 1 species
CCAGGAUUAGAUACCCUAUUAUUCCUAAACCAAAAAUCCCCUAAAGAAGUACCUGUUAUAAGCAUGAAACCUAAAGGAUUUGGCGGUGUUUUAUCUAACCAGAGGAACCUGUUUUUUAAAUCGUCUCCACACGAACCAUCUUACCCAAAGCAAGCUCAUAUACCGCCAUUUUAAACUCGUCAAAAAGCCCAAAUUUCCCCAGGAAACUCUAAAAAUAGGUAAGGCGUGGCAUCUUAGGGAUAGAAUAGGUUACAUUUUUCAAACAAGUGAAAUCUUCAUGAAAAAAAAGAUAAAAACGGAUUUGUUAGUAAUUUAGAAA